AACUCACAGAGAUUCGCCUUCCUCUGCCUCCAAUGUACUGGGAUUAAAAGGUGUGUGCCACUAUUGGCCGGUCUCAUGGUCUCAUUUGUUUUUGUUUUUGUUUUUGUUUUUGUUUUUGUUUGUGUGUGUUUUUAAGACAAAAUUGUGUUAUCUAGGCUAGCCUGAAAUUCAAGAGAUCUUCCUGCCUCGGCCUCCCACAUAUGAGAUUGCAGGCCCAUGCCACAACACUAAAAUAGUACUAAAGAACUUUAAUCAGAAUUAGGGAAGUGUUUUCUCCAAGUAAAUUCACAUCUUUUACUUAGCCAUUCGUUCAGGAAUAAAGUAUAAUCACUAUUCACAGUGUUUUCUCAGCAGGAAGGAGGAACAACGGAAUUUCUGCUCUCCCCUUCCCUUCGGCAUCCAGUUACCCAGUAAACCUACAGAUCUGAAAUCCAUUCACACAUGUCCUUGUUACUGCUCUAGUCCAAACCAUUCUUCAUUCCUAAUCAUCUACAAAGAUGCGAUUUCUCUAUGUAAGUAGCUAUGGCUGUCCUGGAACUUGUUCUGUUGACCAGACUGUCCCAGAACUCAAGAGAUGUGCCUGCCUCUGGCUCAGAGUGCUGAAAUAAAAGGUAUGUGCCAAUACAGAUUUUUUUAAGAUUUAUUUUUAUUACUUUUAAUGUGUGUGUGUGUGUGUGUGUGUGUGUGUGCUGCCUAACCUGGGUGCUGUGACUCAAACACAGGUCCUCCAGAGGAGCAGCCCAUGCUUUUAAUUGCUGGGGCAUCUAUCCAGUCUCAGCAUUAACAUCUCCUAAGAAUACAAAGAUUGUAAACGCUGAGGUUGAUGGCAUGGCUCAAGGGUUAAGAGCAAAGAAACUCACAGCCACUUGUAACUCCAGUUCCAGGAGAUUCAAAGUCACCCUCUGUUCUCUGUGGUCACCUGUUCUCACGUGCACACUUCCUCCCCUCAAACAUGUAAAAAUAAUAAAAAUACUACUACUAAGCAACCCUUUUUCCACACUCGGAGGGAGGCUGAAACACAACGAAUGAAAUGUGUGCUGUUGGUUUUUCUUUUCUUUUUCCUUUUUUUUCUUAUGAAAGACAUUACCUAGGC
rnacentral:lncRNA from 1 species